AGUAAAGUGGCGCACGGGUGAGUAACACGUGGAUAAUCUGCCCCAAGGUCAGGGAUAACACUUCGAAAGAGGUGCUAAUACCAGAUAAGCUCACGCUAUCUUCGGAUAAAGUGAGAAAAGAUUUAUUGCCUUGGGAUGAGUCCGCGGUCCAUUAGCUAGUUGGUGGGGUAAUGGCCUACCAAGGCUGCGAUGGAUAGCUGGUCUGAGAGGAUGAUCAGCCACACUGGAACUGAGACACGGUCCAGACUCC
rnacentral:rRNA from 1 species